GCGGCAAUAACAGGUCUGUGAUGCCCUCAGAUGUCCCGGGCUGCACACGUGCUACAAUGAGUGGCGCAAUGUGCUAAUGUUUAAGGGAUAAGAGUGUGGUCAGUAGAACGUCGGGAUUUCCCCUGACGUCUCCCCCGCACGAUUAUCAGCCUUCCCUUAACAGGGCGGGCAACCUUUUCAAAAUACUGGUUUGAUGUUAAAGUAUUGAGUCGUUUUUUUUGGAUGGUGGUUUGUUAACCAAUACCAUCCGGCAACUGCUCGCGAGUUUGUGGUUCUGGCGACUCAUGGUGGGGACCGACGUUUGUAAUUUUUUGUCGCGUGUUAACUAGGAAUGCCUUGUACUGUCG
rnacentral:rRNA from 1 species